AAAAGACAAACUUCGUACUCGUCGACACCUCUCUAUUUAAAACUCGUAUUUAAGGGGUUGUUAAGAGAUGCUUAAAGUUAAAAAUAAAUCAAAAUACAUUAUUAAUGUUAAAAUGGAUUCUAAGUUAAGCAUUUUUGGUAAUCGUUUAGGAUCUCAUAUGUGUCAGUCUGCCAUUGGCUAAUGAAAUUAACAAAAGAAGAAAAGAAAAAAAAAAACUCGACCAAAGCUACAUCUCCGCCGUACUUUCUCUGAUUCAUCCCCAUUCUUCUUCUUCUCCGGUUCGGAUUCCUCUCUCUAGUAGUAAGUCUCCGACUGACUCACAAUCAUCAAUUUGAAUUUUGUUUGUUUCAGAUUUUCUUCCAAAAUAUUGAAGAUUCCUAUUCUCGUAAUGCUUCUCUGCUACUCGUUCGCCUCCUCCUCUCGCUUCUGGUAUACUCCUCCUCCUCUUCAUUCGGAUUUUUGUCUAGAUUCAUUUCAAUUGGUAAGCAGAUCAAAAUGUAGUUCUUCUGAUAAGUGAGUCACAGAUGGUAAUUAGUGUUCCUAUUGUCAACAAGACUUAAGAUUCCUGAAAACUGGUGUUCAUCUUUUGCAAUUUGGUUCCAUCUCUUUGUAUUUAAAUAGAACCAAGGUCCUUACAAGAGAGAAGAUGCUUGAUUGAUAAACCUGUUCCACUUUAUAGUAUGAGAAUUUUUUUUUCUGUAUACUUAUAGAUAUUGGUUAUGUCUCUGGAUUUAUAUAUGGUUUGGAGUUGUGAGAAAGUUCCAUGGAUGUUUCAAGAGUCGUUGGCUGCUGCUUUAGGGGACAACAGUUAGCUUGUGCGGUUCAUUCCAUGUGCUCGCUGCUUUUGCAGAGCUGGACUUGAUGGAGCUAAAACAGCUUUACUGCAGAUGGUGAUACUACCGAGAGUACUCUUCAUACAAAUGUCUUAUACCUGGACUUGAUGGAGCUAAACAAGCUUUAUUUUGUAGGAUACCGUCUCUCAUACAAAUGUCAAAACCUUGCAACUGCAGCAGCGAGACAUUCUCUGCUCUCCAGGAUCAUAUAAAGCUUGCUCUCAAGUCUUCAGGAUCUUUAUACAUUUCUAAUUUGUUGUUCUGUUUUUUUUCUUCCAGGUUUAGGAUAUGUUUAUAUCAAUCAAUGAUGGCUUUGUACUUAAAAAAUAUCAUAGUUUUCAAAAUAUUUUUAAAAAAAAUUUAAGAACCCAAAAUUAU